rnacentral:rRNA from 1 species
UACAGAGGGUGCGAGCGUUGUUCGGAAUUACUGGGCGUAAAGCGCGCGCAGGCGGCCCUUUAAGUCUACCCGUGAAAUGCCGGAGCUCAACUCCGUGCACGCCGGGGGAUACUGGAGGGCUGGAGACGAGUAGAGGCAAGCGGAAUUCCGGGUGUAGCGGUGGAAUGCGUAGAUAUCCGGAAGAACACCGGAGGCGAAGGCGGCUUGCUGGGCUUGGUCUGACGCUGAGGCGCGAAAGCGUGGGGAGCGA